AUGUUUCAGUGGCUGUGGCCCCUCCCUCCCUCCUUUUGCAUCCUCUCAUUUACAACAAGUGAUCUUUCUCCUUCCCUUAGUGACCAUCAAACAGAGACCUGUGCCUUGCAACCAGCAGACCCCACCCCUACACACACUGGGGAGGGUGUUGUUGGUUACAGGGGUAGAUCAAGAUUUGAGGUGCAGAGAUUCAUUUCCACAGGGCUGUUUAUUGACUGCCUGCAUUGCCUCCAUCCUUUGGGAAUUGUACUCAAGGGGAGAGAAAGGGAAGGAUUGGAAUGUUGUCAAUCCGUUUCGUACAGAAGUAGAAGGGGGAAAGGUAACAAGGAGUCUGAUACAGAAGGCAAAGGGAAAAGGAUUUACCUGCUGGAGAAGGUCUUGCCGUCUCUGGUCCCAUGUGUCGGGCAGCUCCUUAGAGAGGCAGAGCGGAGGGGAGAGACUGAGGGAGAGGGAGAAGAAGGGGAAAGGAGGAGGCGUGAGGUUGAAGUGGGUUCAUCUCCCUUCAGUCCCCUGCUUUAUCUGGGCCAUUGCUUGAUAAGGUCCUCCUCUGCCCCCUCUCUUCAUCCCCCUCUCAAUUCCAUCCCCCUCCUUUCUGACCGAGAAGAGGCAGAGGCAGCCCAGUACCGCCUGGGGCUGGAGCUCACUCUGCAACUGCUACAUGCACCAUGCAGCCGCUUGUCUGAGCUGAAGAGGCAGGUGGGGCAGUGCAGGGUGGAGCUGCAGAGGGGAGAGGAGAUCCAGAGGCGUACCGUGGAGAGACGGAGGG
rnacentral:lncRNA from 13 species